CCUACGGGAGGCAGCAGUAAGGAAUCUUGCGCAAUGGGCGAAAGCCUGACGCAGCGACGCCGCGUGGGCGAUGAAGGCCUUCGGGUUGUAAAGCCCUUUUCUGGGGGACGAGGAAGGACGGUACCCCAGGAAUAAGUCACGGCUAACUACGUGCCAGCAGCCGCGGUAAAACGUAGGUGGCAAGCGUUAUCCGGAUUUAUUGGGCGUAAAGCGCGUGUAGGCGGCCGGGUAGGUCCGCUGUGAAAACUCGAGGCUCAACCUCGAGAUGUCGGCGGAAACCACCCGGCUAGAGUCCGGAAGAGGAGAGUGGAAUUCCCGGUGUAGCGGUGAAAUGCGCAGAUAUCGGGAAGACCACCCGUGGCGAAGGCGGCUCUCGGGGACGGUACUGACGCUGAGACGCGAAAGCGUGGGGAGCGAACAGGAUUAGAUCCCCCUGUAGU
rnacentral:rRNA from 1 species